GGCGGCGUGCUUAACACAUGCAAGUCGAACGUGAUUCGGAGCUUGCUCCGAUGAAAGUGGCGCACGGGUGAGUAUCGCGUGGAUAACCUACCCUGGUGUCUGGGAUAACAUCUCGAAAGGGGUGCUAAUACCGGAUAAGCCCACGGGACCUUCGGGUUCUGCGGGAAAAGGAGGCCUCUAUUUAUAAGCUUUCGCAUCAUGAUGGGUCCGCGUACCAUUAGCUAGUUGGUGGGGUAAUGGCCUACCAAGGCUACGAUGGUUAGCUGGUCUGAGAGGAUGAUCAGCCACACUGGAACUGAGACACGGUCCAGACUCCUACGGGAGGCAGCAGUGGGGAAUUUUGCGCAAUGGGGGAAACCCUGACGCAGCAACGCCGCGUGAGUGAUGAAGGCUUUCGGGUCGUAAAGCUCUGUCAGUGGGGAAGAAAUGUGACUGGCUAAUAUCCAGUCAUCUUGACGGUACCCACAAAGGAAGCACCGGCUAACUCCGUGCCAGCAGCCGCGGUAAUACGGGGGGUGCAAGCGUUGUUCGGAUUUAUUGGGCGU
rnacentral:rRNA from 1 species